rnacentral:lncRNA from 1 species
AAAUGAUUAUUUAAAAAAAAAUCCACAAUAUUCAAUGAAUUAAAAGAAAGUCUAAUAUGAUGUGAAUGCAUAAAAUCUCUAAGUCAAUAAUAGAUCCUCCUCCCAAGUAAGUAGAGCACUAGUAAGAAUAAAAAGUUACCCUUAUAGUCAAAGCUUGAGAAUACCUAGAGUCCAUUAUUAACUUCCCAUACCAUACUAAAAUUUAAAGGUAUAGAAAAAAGAGAGCAUGUGUUGGAUGUAAACAGCAACUGAAAUUGUACUCUUCUAGGUGAGACUCAA